rnacentral:rRNA from 1 species
UACGAAGGGUGCAAGCGUUGUUCGGAAUUACUGGGCGUAAAGGGCUUGUAGGUGGCCAACUAAGUCAGACGUGAAAUCCCUCGGCUUAACCGGGGAACUGCGUCUGAUACUGGAUGGCUUGAGUUUGGGAGAGGGAUGCGGAAUUCCAGGUGUAGCGGUGAAAUGCGUAGAUAUCUGGAGGAACACCGGUGGCGAAGGCGGCAUCCUGGACCAAUACUGACACUGAAAAGCGAAAGCCAGGGGAGCAAACGGG